rnacentral:rRNA from 1 species
UACAGAGGUCUCAAGCGUUGUUCGGGAUUCAUUGGGCGUAAAGGGUGCGUAGGCGGUGCGGUAAGUCGGGUGUGAAAUCUCGGAGCUUAACUCCGAAACUGCAUUCGAUACUGCCGUGCUUGAGGACUGGAGAGGAGACUGGAAUUUACGGUGUAGCGGUGAAAUGCGUAGAUAUCGUAAGGAAGACCAGUGGCGAAGGCGGGUCUCUGGACAGUUCCUGACGCUGAGGCACGAAGGUCAGGGGAGCAAACGGG